GUGGCUUGUGAGCCUGAUUCACAAACAGGGGUCUGGGCAGGACACCCACCCUUAACACUCAUCUCCAGACAAGAAUUGAGAGCUGCACAUGUGAUAAGACACCAGUGCACAGGACAAAACAAAGAUGGGCAGCCAAAGAAAGCAGAUGCUUCGAUUGAACAAAGUCACUGGGUAAAGAUUUGCAUAUGGGCUACCUCAGAGCAGCAAAACUUCUCUAAAUAUGCAGGCCCAACAGAGGAUCUGCACACUGACUGUAAAAGGUGUGCUUAAAUUGCACAGAGCUUUGGGGAAACCAAUCCUGCCCAGCGAGUCACCGUGAGAUGCC
rnacentral:lncRNA from 1 species